GACGAACGCUGGCGGCGUGCUUAACGCAUGCAAGUCGAACGGAAAGGCCCUGCUUUUGUGGGGUGCUCGAGUGGCGAACGGGUGAGUAACACGUGAGUAUCCUGCCCUUGACUUUGGGAUAACUUCACGAAACUGGGGCUAAUACCGUAUCGGAGCUCCCGCUGCAUGGUGGGGGUUGGAUCGUUUCGGCGGUAGGGGUUGGACUCGCGGCUUACCAGCUUGUUGGUUGGGGAGUGGCUUACCAAGGCUUUGACGGGUAGCCGGCAUGGGAGGGUGACCGGCGACAAGGGGACUGAGAGACGGCCCAGACUCCUACAGGAGGCAACAGUGGGGAAUAUUGCACAGUGAGCGGAAGCCUGAUGCAACGACGCCGCGUGCGGGAUGACGGCCUUCGGGUUGUAAACCGCUGUCGCCUGUGACGAAGCGUGAGUGACGGUAAUGGGUAAAGAAGCACCGGCUAACUACGUG
rnacentral:rRNA from 1 species